rnacentral:rRNA from 1 species
AUGAACGCUAGCUACAGGCUUAACACAUGCAAGUCGAGGGGCAGCAUGGUCUUAGCUUGCUAAGGCCGAUGGCGACCGGCGCACGGGUGAGUAACACGUAUCCAACCUGCCGUCUACUCUUGGACAGCCUUCUGAAAGGAAGAUUAAUACAAGAUGGCAUCAUGAGUCCGCAUGUUCACAUGAUUAAAGGUAUUCCGGUAGACGAUGGGGAUGCGUUCCAUUAGAUAGUAGGCGGGGUAACGGCCCACCUAGUCUUCGAUGGAUAGGGGUUCUGAGAGGAAGGUCCCCCACAUUGGAACUGAGACACGGUCCAAACUCCUACGGGAGGCAGCAGUGAGGAAUAUUGGUCAAUGGGCGAGAGCCUGAACCAGCCAAGUAGCGUGAAGGAUGACUGCCCUAUGGGUUGUAAACUUCUUUUAUAAAGGAAUAAAGUCGGGUAUGGAUACCCGUUUGCAUGUACUUUAUGAAUAAGGAUCGGCUAACUCCGUGCCAGCAGCCGCGGUAAUACGGAGGAUCCGAGCGUUAUCCGGAUUUAUUGGGUUUAAAGGGAGCGUAGAUGGAUGUUUAAGUCAGUUGUGAAAGUUUGCGGCUCAACCGUAAAAUUGCAGUUGAUACUGGAUAUCUUGAGUGCAGUUGAGGCAGGCGGAAUUCGUGGUGUAGCGGUGAAUGCUUAGAUAUCACGAAGAACUCCGAUUGCGAAGGCAGCCUGCUAAGCUGCAACUGACAUUGAGGCUCGAAAGUGUGGGUAUCAAACAGGAUUAGAUACCCGGGUAGUCCACACGGUAAACGAGGAAUACUCGCUGUUUGCGAUAUACUGCAAGCGGCCAAGCGAAAGCGUUAAGUAUUCCACCUGGGGAGUACGCCGGCAACGGUGAAACUCAAAGGAAUUGACGGGGGCCCGCACAAGCGGAGGAACAUGUGGUUUAAUUCGAUGAUACGCGAGGAACCUUACCCGGGCUUAAAUUGCAGAUGAAUUACGGUGAAAGCCGUAAGCCGCAAGGCAUCUGUGAAGGUGCUGCAUGGUUGUCGUCAGCUCGUGCCGUGAGGUGUCGGCUUAAGUGCCAUAACGAGCGCAACCCUUGUUGUCAGUUACUAACAGGUUCCGCUGAGGACUCUGACAAGACUGCCAUCGUAAGAUGUGAGGAAGGUGGGGAUGACGUCAAAUCAGCACGGCCCUUACGUCCGGGGCUACACACGUGUUACAAUGGGGGGUACAGAGGGCCGCUACCACGCGAGUGGAUGCCAAUCCCCAAAACCUCUCUCAGUUCGGACUGGAGUCUGCAACCCGACUCCACGAAGCUGGAUUCGCUAGUAAUCGCGCAUCAGCCACGGCGCGGUGAAUACGUUCCCGGGCCUUGUACACACCGCCCGUCAAGCCAUGGGAGCCGGGGGUACCUGAAGUGCGUAACCGCGAGGAGCGCCCUAGGGUAAAACUGGUGACUGGGGCU